UUCUCUUUGGUCAUUAGAGGAAGUAAAAGUCGUAACAAGGUCUCCGUAGGUGAACCUGCGGAGGGAUCAUUACACAGGUAUGAUGGUGGGCUGGAACCUCUCGGGGUUACAGCCUUGCUGAAUUAUUCACCCUUGUCUUUUGCGUACUUCUUGUUUCCUUGGUGGGUUCGCCCACCACUAGGACAAACAUAAACCUUUUGUAAUUGCAAUCAGCGUCAGUAACAAAUUAAUAAUUACAACUUUCAACAACGGAUCUCUUGGUUCUGGCAUCGAUGAAGAACGCAGCGAAAUGCGAUAAGUAGUGUGAAUUGCAGAAUUCAGUGAAUCAUCGAAUCUUUGAACGCACAUUGCGCCCUUUGGUAUUCCAAAGGGCAUGCCUGUUCGAGCGUCAUUUGUACCCUCAAGCUUUGCUUGGUGUUGGGCGUCUUGUCUCUAGCUUUGCUGGAGACUCGCCUUAAAGUAAUUGGCAAGCCGGCCUACUGGUUUCGGAGCGCAGCACAAGGGUCGAAUACUCUCUAUCAGCAAAGGUCUAGCAUCCAUUAAGCCUUUUUUUCAACUUUUGACCUCGGAUCAGGUAGGGAUACCCGCUGAACUUAAGCAUAUCAUA
rnacentral:rRNA from 1 species